rnacentral:tRNA from 1 species
UCCAGACUGCCCCGGUUAUUUUCGGCGUAUAGCCUGCAAACCAGGCGUCCUUUGUCGCGCCGGAGACGCCUGUAUAA